rnacentral:rRNA from 1 species
GUGCAGCAGGCGAGAAUCCUUCGCAAUGCGGGAAACCGCGACGAGGGGACUCCCAGUGCCUACGCUCAGCGUAGGCUGUUCCCGAGCCUAGAAAGCUCGGGGAGUAAGGGCUGGGUAAGACGGGUGCCAGCCGCCGCGGUAAUACCCGCAGCCCGAGUGGUGGCCACUAUUAUUGGGCCUAAAGCGUCCGUAGCCGGCCCGGUAAAUGCCUGGGUAAAUCGUGAGGCCUAACCUCACGAAUUCCGGGUAGACUGCCGGGCUAGGGACCGGAGGAGGGAGAGGGGUACUCCAGGGGUAGGGGUGAAAUCCUGUAAUCCCUGGAGGACCACCGGUGGCGAAGGCGCUCUCCUAGGACGGGUCCGACGGUGAGGGACGAAAGCCAGGGGAGCGAACCGGAUUAGAUA